AGUGAACGCUGGCGGUAGGCCUAACACAUGCAAGUCGAACGGCAGCACAGUAAGAGCUUGCUCUUACGGGUGGCGAGUGGCGGACGGGUGAGGAAUACAUCGGAAUCUACUUUUCGUGGGGGAUAACGUAGGGAAACUUACGCUAAUACCGCAUACGACCUACGGGUGAAAGCAGGUGAUCUUCGGACCUUUCGCGAUUGAAUGAGCCGAUGUCGGAUUAGCUAGUUGGCGGGGUAAAGGCCCACCAAGGCGACGACCCGUAGCUGGUCUGAGAGGGUGAUCAGCCACACUGGAACUGAGACACGGUCCAGACUCCUACGGGAGGCAGCAGUGGGGAAUAUUGGACAAUGGGCGCAAGCCUGAUCCAGCCAUGCCGCGUGAGUGAAGAAGGCCUUCGGGUUGUAAAGCCCUUUUGUUGGGAAAGAAAAGCAGCAGGUUAAUACCCCGCUGUUCUGACGGUACCCAAAGAAUAAGCACCGGCUAACUUCGUG
rnacentral:rRNA from 1 species